rnacentral:rRNA from 1 species
GACGAACGCUGGCGGCGUGCCUAAUACAUGCAAGUAGAACGCAGUUGCGAACGGGUGAGUAACGCGUAGGUAACUGCCUCAUAGCGGGGGAUAACUAUUGGAAACUAUAGCUAAUACCGCAUACUGUGUGAUGGACCUGCGUUGUAUUGGCUAGGUGGUGAGGUAAAGGCUCACCAAGGCGACGAUACAUAGCCGAACUGAGAGGGUGAUCGGGCAAACUGGGACGGAGGCACGGCCCAAGAUCCUAAGGGAGGAAGCAGUAGGGAAACAUCGGCAAGGGAGGGAAGGCUGACCGAGCAAAGGCGCGUGAGUGAAGAAGGUUUUCGGAUCGUAAAGCUCUGUUGUUAGGGAAGCGGUAAAUAACCAGAAAGGGACGGCUAACUACGUGCCAGCAGCCGCGGUAAUAC